UACGUAGGGCGCAAGCGUUGUCCGGAAUUAUUGGGCGUAAAGAGCUCGUAGGCGGCUUGUCACGUCGAUUGUGAAAGCCCGAGGCUUAACCUCGGGUCUGCAGUCGAUACGGGCUAGCUAGAGUGUGGUAGGGGAGAUCGGAAUUCCUGGUGUAGCGGUGAAACGCGCAGAUAUCAGGAGGAACACCGGUGGCGAAGGCGGAUCUCUGGGCCAUUACUGACGCUGAGGAGCGAAAGCGUGGGGAGCGAACAGG
rnacentral:rRNA from 1 species